rnacentral:rRNA from 1 species
UACGGGAGGCAGCAGUGGGGAAUAUUGCACAAUGGGCGCAAGCCUGAUGCAGCCAUGCCGCGUGUAUGAAGAAGGCCUUCGGGUUGUAAAGUACUUUCAGUCGUGAGGAAGGUGUUAAGGUUAAUAACCUUAGCAAUUGACGUUAGCGACAGAAGAAGCACCGGCUAACUCCAUGCCAGCAGCCGCGGUAAUACGGAGGGUGCGAGCGUUAAUCGGAAUUACUGGGCGUAAAGGGCACGCAGGCGGUUAAUAAGUUGGAUGUGAAAUCCCCGGGCUUAACCUGGGAAUGGCAUUCAAGACUGGUUAGCUAGAGUCUUGUAGAGGGGGUAGAAUUCCAUGUGUAGCGGUGAAAUGCGUAGAGAUGUGGAGGAAUACCGGUGGCGAAGGCGGCCCCUGGACAAAGACUGACGCUCAUGUGCGAAAGCGUGGGGAGCAAACGAGGAUUAGGAUACC